rnacentral:rRNA from 1 species
CCUACGGGAGGCAGCAGUGGGGGAUAUUGCACAAUGGGGGAAACCCUGAUGCAGCGACGCCGCGUGGGCGAAGAAGUCUUUCGGUUUGUAAAGUCCUAUCAGCAGGGAAGAGUAAAUGACGGUACCUGUGGAAUAAGCACCGGCUAACUACGUGCCAGCAGCCGCGGUAAUACGUAUGUGGCAAGCGUUAUCCGGAUUUACUGGGUGUAAAGGGCGUGUAGCCGGGAUGCCAAGUCAGAUGUGAAAGCCUGCGGCUUAACCGCAGAACUGCAUUUGAAACUGUUGAUCUGGAGUACCGGAGAGGCAGACGGAAUUCCUAGUGUAGCGGUGAAAUGCGUAGAUAUUAGGAGGAACACCAGUGGCGAAGGCGGCCUGCUGGACAGUAACUGACGGUGAGGCGCGAAAGCGUGGGGAGCAAACAGGAUUAGAUACCCCAGUAGUC